UUCUUUUUGUUCUUGUUGUUCUUGUUGUUCUUGUUGUUUUUAUUAUUUUUGUUGUUGUUGUUGUUGUUAUUGUUCUUCUUGUGGUUCUACUACUACUUUUUUUUAUUUGAUCAAAAGACAUACAACAACAGUUUUUUAAAGUAACUGUUGUGAUAGAUUGAGACAUACAACAAUGGUUGUUUAAAGUAACCAUUGUGAUAGGUUGCAUGCCACUUGACUUAUAAUCACAAUCACACGACCAUGGUUG
rnacentral:lncRNA from 1 species